rnacentral:misc_RNA from 1 species
GAUGAAGAACGUAGCGAAAUGCGAUAAGUAAUGUGAAUUGCAGAAUUCAGUGAAUCAUCGAAUCUUUGAACGCACAUUGCGCCCGCCAGUAUUCUGGCGGGCAUGCCUGUUCGAGCGUCAUUACAACCCUCAGGCCCCCGGGCCUGGCGUUGGGGAUCGGCGGAGCCCCCCGUGGGCACACGCCGUCCCCCAAAUGCAGUGGCGGUCCCGCCGCAGCUUCCAUCGCGUAGUAGCUAACACCUCGCGACUGGAGAGCGGCGCGGCCACGCCGUAAAACACCCAACUCUUCUGAAGUUGACCUCGAGUCAGGUAGGAAUACCCGCUGAACUUAAGCAUAUCAAUAAGCGGAGGA